ACCCUAUUCCCUACAUAGUGCAGUACUUUAACCAUGGCCUGUGGUCUAAAGUGCAUUAUGCCUAAGGACAAGUGUACCAUUUAGGACCGACAUGAAAUCAACAGGUCACUAGAUUCUAACAGUAAUGAGCGUGGAAAUCAACAGGUCACUAGAUUCUAACAGUAAUGAGCGUGGAAAUCAACAGGUCACUAGAUUCUAACAGUAAUGAGCGUGGAAAUCAACAGGUCACUAGAUUCUAACAGUAAUGAGCGUGGAAAUCAACAGGUCACUAGAUUCUAACAGUAAUGAGCGUGGAAAUCAACAGGUCACUAGAUUCUAACAGUAAUGAGCGUGGAAAUCAACAGGUCACUAGAUUAUAACAGUAACUGACAAUUAAAAAGACUAUUGCUGCAACAAAAU